rnacentral:rRNA from 1 species
UACGUAGGGUGCAAGCGUUAAUCGGAAUUACUGGGCGUAAAGCGUGCGCAGGCGGUUUUGUAAGUCUGUCGUGAAAGCCCCGGGCUUAACCUGGGAACUGCGUUUGUAACUGGCAGACUGGAGUGUGGCAGAGGGGGGUGGAAUUCCAAGUGUAGCAGUGAAAUGCGUAGAUAUUUGGAGGAACACCGAUGGCGAAGGCAGCCCCCUGGGCUAACACUGACGCUCAUGCACGAAAGCGUGGGGAGCAAACAGGAUUAGAAACCCGAGUAGU